GCCGUGACAUGAUUAAUCGUUUUCUUCUGAUCUAAUUUUGGAACAUGAAAAACAGCACAUUUGUCUUGAAGAAAAAUGAUGUGCCGAACUGCGCAGAUGGAAAUUUCGAGCAAUGAGAAAGAUUAAAGUGAAACCCCACUCCUUAGACCUAAUCAUGAGUUGUAGAUUAUUCUGUCGGCCCAGCCAGAUGGUAGCUCUGAUUCCACAGCCCCUUCUUAUAUUAAUGAAUACUCGACUGUUAUAUUUGACUUAGGCUUCUCAUCUGUAACUGGUGAAGCCCGGAAGAGCUUGUUGUUCAAGAGGAAAUCUUGUGUUACUUCUUUAUGAAGGACUCCAGCCUGGUGGAGAUGAAUGAGUCCUGAAGAUGGAAUCGAAGCUGUUUGGGCACAAUACUUUAAUCAGCAUUUAAUGACCCAGUCGAAAAUUCAUUGUUUGGACCCAAGCACUGGUGGGAAAGGCAGGAGGGGAGGCCUGCCUUCCUUCCUCCCUCCCGAGCCCUACAGCAGGCCAUGGAGUGGUGAGCGAGUUCGUACAGUGCCAACCACAUUCCCAGAAACUUCCAGCAGAGGUUAAUCCUGCUCCUCUCAGGUGGGCUUGGCCCAUUCUCUAGACUUUGGAAGGUAAUGUUCUAUAGAGGCCUGUUCUGAAGCUUUACCAGGUCAAACCGGAGAAGAACCCAACAAGUAACUCAUCCCAGCCUAACUAUUCUUCAAGGGCAAUCAACCUACAGCAUCCAAGCACAGAGAAAUCAAAUCCAUGGAGAAUCUUCAAAUUAGGCUCAGAAUCCAUUUGGGUCAAUGAAUUUACUGUUAUUAAGAUCUUAGUUGUGUUCAACCAUGAUUUGACAUACCUUAGAGUGAGAAGAUAUUCUUCCUGGCCUCAGACUAGUUGAAGGUAGAGAGAGAGACAGGCCCUUGGGUGUGGGGAGACCUCUCCUGGGAUAAUACACACAAAAAACCAAGAGCUGCUCACUGUGGUGCAGGAGACAGCAGGGCCUGAAGCCAGAGGCUCUGUGUCCUUGAAUACAAUGUUUUACUCCUCUGACCCCUGUUACUGUGAUUUGGAGAGGCAGACAAUAUAGGAUGGGCUUUGCAGGCAGGGAGGUCCAGUUAUAAUCCCAGCUCUUACUAAGUUGGGUAAGACUCACUCUGAGACUUAGUUUCUUCUGUCAUCUCUCAAUAGAAUCAUAAAGGUACUUUCCUCUUAGUGUUGUUUUAAAAUUCAGUAAAAUAAUGCAGGCUUAGCACAGGGUCUGAUGUAAAUUUUCAAUGAAUUAUCGUUGUCAAUAUUGUUCUGGAAAACAAGAGGGCAUAUUAGAAGAUCAAAAGUACUGCCAAGCAUUGAAGUGCCAAUUCUAGAUCCAGUCUCAGCCCUCUGAGAAUGGAUAUCAUUGUUUUCAAGCCAUUCAGAAACCAAUGUGAAUUGAACACCUAGUAUGAGCUCUCUGAGGGAAGAGCCAAGUCAUGCAUUUUUUAUCUUAAGGGGUCUUCAAUACCUCUAGCCCAAAACAGUAUCUCCAUCAGGAUUCUUCUCUGAUAGUGUUCAUUUCUUUUUUCUCAAUGGAUGCCUUAAAAAAAAAAUCCUACAAGGAAACCUGUACUCCUCAAAUACACCACUCAGGUGACCAUUAAAUCAUUUACAUUGUUAAUUUCUUUUCAGAUGUGUGUCUUUUUCCCUAGUUACAUCAUCAGGACCUUGAAGGUAGGGACAGGUCUUAGAUUUCUUGAUGCCCCCAUAAAUCUAGGUACAGAGUAGGUCUCUGGACAUCAGUAUAAGGCCCAUGAGCCUGAUAGCUGCCCAGGUGGGUGCUGUGUGCCUGGGCGUGGGAAGGACAAAAGAGAGGUCACUAAAGGGGUUCCUGGGAAGGAAGAGCCCCUCUGACUUUAAAAGGGAGCCCAUACACUUUUUGGACAACUGGAAUAAUCAGAAAGCUGUUUUUGGGGAGGCAGCAGCCAGAAAAACCUGGGGCAUUGGGUCAACCAAAGCCCUUCCCAAGGCUGCAGUGGCUGCAGCUAGUUAGCCCAGCUUCCCUACCAGCCCCAGGGCUGCAACUGAACAGUGUUGGCUUCUUAAUAAAAACAG
rnacentral:lncRNA from 1 species